CGGCACGGAAUGGGAUGUGUCUCUUUGACGACUCGCCACUUACUCCCGAGCCUCGGCACACUAGAGCGAACAGCUCGAACAGACGACCAACCGGGGAGCAUAACGCCGAAUAACGCUCGCGUAACGAACUGGCGCGCGCCGUAUCGAAUGUGUGUGGCACGCGCGUCGAUCCGCCGAAGCUCACGACCAUCAGUUCGAUUUCAGUGACGUUCAGUUGCGGUUCGUCGUCGAGCGGUCGAGCGGUCGUGAAAAAGGACGAGAUACAGCAAAAAAAAAGGUGAACCAACCAGAGGCCACAAAAAAAAAAAAACAAUACACGCACGCACCUAACCACACACGCAUGCAUGUGCAUGGUUGAUCGUUGCGUACAGUGUUAGUUUGAUGCGAAUGUGACACUUUUUGCCAUCCAUCCAAGCCACGCAACGGAAAAGGUGGGAAAGUUUUGAACGAAAAAAAAGGGGAAAAAGCACUUGAGUGGAAAUUUUUAAGUGUGUGUCUGUGUGUGUGUGUCUAAGUGUGUGUGUGUGAAGUGAUUUCUACCAGCUGAUUUCUACCCUGCAGGCAGACCACCGAUAGCGGGCAAGAUUACUGCUGCAUCCUUUAAAUUAUGCAAGCAAAUCUAAACACAGUGGAAAAGCCGGGAAAAUGGCAAAGAAGUUUCGUGUGCGGUUGGUGAGGUGAAACGGAAAACUUGACGGCACCGGGAUCAACUGAUGCGCGGCAAACGAUAACGCGUGCAAGAAGGUGUGGUGCAUUUGUUUUAAAUUUUACAUAGCGGUGCGUGUGAAAAUGUGAGCAAAAAUAUAGAAUUUCCCAACGAAAUUGUGCUUCAGUCCGGUGCUGCUGGUGUAAAUUACUCAACCAAUGACCAGCACGCACUGUGAGGCUGGAAUGAGUGAUUUUGUCGGAUGGAAGGAGUGUUUGUAAGUUAGUGUAACGAUUAGUGGAUGUGAAGCUCACAUAUACACAGUGUGUAAACGGCCUGCCACACCCUGUUCUACCUUGGUCUGAAAGCCGUCAAGCAGGCAAACGCGCGAAGGAUAGUGCGUGUGUGUGUUUGUGUGUAAAGGUGAAUAAAAUAAUCUAAUCAAAUAUUCAACAAUUAUCGACCAAAAAGUUGGUCAAUCCCCAACGCAAAGCAACGGAAGACCAGACCGUUUGGUUCGGUUGGCUAAAAUUGCGGUGCGUACCCUGUCAGUGUGCAGUGUAAGAACACACCGUGACCGUACACGCGAGUGAAGCCGUUAAGCCUUCAACGACAACACACCGUCGAACGAAAGGAUUCCUCAACCGUAACACACACACAAACCCAGCAAAAAAGGUGCAGCUAAGGAAAAAGAGUCAUCGAUCCGGGAUUGAACAGAUUUGACGUCAGCUCACUAACAACACCUAUUGAAAUCCCACGAAUGGCGCACGAUACGGACCGCCAACAAGGACGGAACGUUUACAUGAAAUGACGUUCGUCCUCAAAAUGCCCCCAAGCCCUGGCCGAAGGACCAGUUCAUGGUUCAGAAGUGAAUACCCAACGUAUCAGAGCGGAAAGGGGCCAAGCCGAGGGACAUUCCAGUGGACGGAGGUCGGAUCCGAGCCGAGUCGGACCCAACACAAAUCAGCCCUUUUCGUAAUUGACAAAGGAAUACGAGAUUACGACACGGAGCACUAAGAGACCGGGACCGAGCGGGAAACUCGACCCGAACCCCAAACGCAGACAACGCAACCGCCAGCAUUGAAGAGUAAACCCACCAAGCUCAGUGAAAACGCUUGCAAACCGCCAACUCCAACUGAUAAACGAAAGCUUACCAGAAAUCCACAACGUGCAACAAAGUAUGCGACAAAAGGGGAUACGGAUCUAUUAGAGUGGAAAAAACAACACAGUGACGUCAUACCCUGCGAAACUCAGCACCAGCGACACGGCACCACCCCCGCCGGUAACACUGUGUUAAGGUGAAAAUAAUUAAAUACCAUCGCCUGCUCCAACGACUGUCAUUCGGUCGUGUAGAGUGCAAGCGCGAAGCCAGCCACAAGGUGACAAGAAGCCGGGUGGGCAAACCAAUGAUAAAAAUCUUCACACACGGUUUCACCUGCUGCGGAGGUUUCCGUACUAGUUGUUGCCGACCAGGAAAAACCUUCGGUCGAACAGUGAACCGUGUUAGCUUUACCCAUUAACCGAACAUCGAGAGGAGCAGUAACCGCACACACACACGCGCGCGUACAUACACCCGCCAGACGAUUCACAAACUAGGCAAACGCAUACGAUCAACUUUAGCGAACGAGAAUUCCAGCACCAUCACUCGGUGGCAGCGACCGGUGAAGCGUAUGAAAGGAACAAAUCUACACGGCGGAUUGUGAUCCCUUCCCGAGUUUGGUUUUUUCUCUCUCUUCAACUCUGUCUCUAGAGCUUCCGCUCGUUCACGCUGCUCAUCGCUGCGUUUCUCUCACGUUGUUUCUGCGCGGCAUACUGCGAUCGCGAACGGGUCUAGCUUGCCCGGAACAGACACGG